CUUUUUCUAAUUUGAAACUGCCGCCAACAUCAUGAACAGUUGAACUUAUUAUAUAAUAGACUACUGACGUAGUUGUACUACGUAUUGAUGACAAACAAUAUCCCUACGACUUUUGCCAUUUGGGAAAUCUAAACUACUUGUCUUAAGAGAUUUUCGGCGAUUAAAUAUUUCAUACAAUUGUUCAUUGACAUCUUAGCUAAAAGCACAAGUCAUAAUGAACUACACAAGGAUUCUUAAUAAGCACUACUUCCUAUGUGUAACUUCAAAACUUUUGGAUAAAUCGACGAUCAUUUAAGGUUUUUCUGGUCAUAUUUUUUGUAAUCCAGAAUAAAAAGUAUUAAAAAAGUG
rnacentral:lncRNA from 1 species